rnacentral:rRNA from 1 species
AAUGAAUGUUGGCGGCGUGGAUUAGGCAUGCAAGUCGAGCGAGAAGUAUUCCUGCUUGCAGGAAUACGGAAAGCGGCGAAAGGGAGAGUAACGCGUGGGUAACCUGCCCCUAGACUCGGGAUAGCUGCGGGAAACUGCAGGUAAUACCGAAUAAUGUCUUCGGACCAAAGGUGUGAUUCCGUCUAGGGAUGGGCCCGCGUCCUAUUAGCUUGUUGGUGAGGUAACGGCUUACCAAGGCUACGAUGGGUACCGGGUGUGAGAGCAUGACCCGGCUCACUGGGACUGAGACACUGCCCAGACACCUACGGGUGCUGCAGUCGAGAAUCUUCGGCAAUGGACGCAAGUCUGACCGAGCGACGCCGCGUGCGGGAUGAAGGCCUUCGGGUUGUAACCGCUGUCAGAGGGGAGAAAUGCAUGAGGGUUCUCCUCAUGUUUGACCGAUCCUCAGAGGAAGUACGGGCUAAGUUCGUGCCAGCGCCG